UCGCCAGACUCCUACGGGAGGCAGCAGUGGGGAAUAUUGCACAAUGGGGGAAACCCUGAUGCAGCGACGCCGCGUGAGCGAUGAAGUAUUUCGGUAUGUAAAGCUCUAUCAGCAGGGAAGAAGAUGACGGUACCUGACUAAGAAGCCCUGGCUAACUACGUGCCAGCAGCCGCGGUAAUACGUAGGGGGCAAGCGUUAUCCGGAUUUACUGGGUGUAAAGGGAGCGUAGACGGCGAUGCAAGCCAGAUGUGAAAGCCCGGGGCUCAACCCCGGGACUGCAUUUGAAACUGUCAGGCUGGAGUGCAGGAGAGGUAAGUGGAAUUCCUAGUGUAGCGGUGAAAUGCGUAGAUAUUAGGAGGAACACCGGUGGCGAAGGCGGCCUGCUGGACUGCAACUGACGUUGAGGCCCGAAAGCGUGGGGAGCAAACAGGAUUAGAUACCCCCGUA
rnacentral:rRNA from 1 species